UACGUAGGGGGCUAGCGUUGUCCGGAAUCAUUGGGCGUAAAGCGCGUGUAGGCGGCCCGGUAAGUCCGCUGUGAAAGUCGGGGGCUCAACCCUCGAAUGCCGGUGGAUACUGUCGGGCUCGAGUACGGGAGAGGCGAGUGGAAUUCCUGGUGUAGCGGUGAAAUGCGCAGAUAUCAGGAGGAACACCUAUUGCGAAGGCAGCUCGCUGGGACGUAACUGACGCUGAGACGCGAAAGCGUGGGGAGCAAACAGG
rnacentral:rRNA from 1 species